GGACUACUGGGGUAUCUAAUCCUGUUUGCUCCCCACGCUUUCGCGUCUCAGCGUCAGCAACGAUCCAGAGGGCCGCCUUCGCCGCCGGUGUUCCUCCUGAUAUCUACGCAUUUCACCGCUACACCAGGAAUUCCACCCUCCUCUAUCGCGCUCUAGCUGGCUAGUAUCGGAUGCACUUCUGGAGCUGAGCCCCAGGCUUUCACACCCGACUUGACCAACCGCCUACACGCCCUUUACGCCCAGUCAAUCCGAACAACGCUUGCACCCUCCGUCUUACCGCGGCUGCUGGCAC
rnacentral:rRNA from 1 species